GUAGCAUGUCUGUCCUGGGCUCGGCUCCCCGGGGGUGCUGCAGGCGCUUAACAAGGGCGUCCACAGGUACCAGGCGCAGAAGCGGUCUCCGCGACGGCCCGGGGGCGGUGGCGGCCGGCGCGCCCACCGCCGGCCGGAGGCGCCCGGCGAGGUGGCCCAGGAAGCCCCCGCUCCUCGGCCACGCUCAGCUUUCCGCCGCGCCGGUGCCCCCGGCGGCCCGGGUGGGACGUGACCCCGCCCCCGGCGAGUCGGGGCGCCCCCCACGGAGGGGUGCGCGGGCCGCCCCCGGCCCCCGGCCCGACCCUGCCGCCCUGGGCCGUGGCGGGCGCGGGAGGCCCGGCCGGGAAGAUGUCUCCUGUUGGUGCGCGCAGCUUCGCGCGGGGGUCAGCGACGGGGCAGCAGCCGCCCGAGCUGCGCCGGCCCUGCCCACGGACCGACUCCCGCGGCCCGACAGCUGCCCGACGGGCCAGCAGGCUCCGAACGUCGACGGAGCCCGGCCGGAGGUACCCGAGCAGUGCCAUGCGAGCAGCCCAGCCGCGAUCCGGGCAUUUCCCCAGCCAAUCUCUUGCUCUGGGGCCCGUUUAAAUUCUAAAUCCCACAAAGGACGGUGGCUGGGGCGUUACACAUCGGGGUUGGCACUAUUGGCUCCACUACGCCCUUGCUGAGCGGUGUCACACAAAUCUUUUUCUCCCUGCCUUGGUUUCCCACUCUUUAAGCUCUGACUCCUGGAAGCAGGGAAUGGAGCAGAGAGGUAGGGCAUGGAGUGAAUCAUAUAACCUGCAUAAACAGCCAUCAACUCUUUCAGGAGGACGUUAGCGAGACAAUUAAAAUAAUGAUACCUUCUAAUUCUAUCAAGGCUUGAACUCCAAGGUAAAAGCGCUACGUAAAUGCAAGGUAUUAUUAUUUAUUACCACAGAAGGUUUUUCUGCAUGCACAACUUGGGGAGUUUGUACAGACAUUCUCUGCUUUGUUUCACAACAUCCUUAGGAGACAAGCUAAAGUGCCUGUUAGCGCUAUAUUCAUUUUAAAGAUAGACAACUGAAGUAUAGAAAGGUUAAAGAGCUUGCAUAAUUACUCCAACAGCCGACUGAAACAUCUCACAAACAGCAAAAAAGGAUUGUUGUGGAGUGAAAUGGACUAAUGGACAUGAAUACCCUUUGGAAACUAGAAGACAACUUAUUUUAGAAAGGAUUUCUGAGGUCUUGCACAGUGCCUCAUGCCUGUAAUCCCAGCACUUUGGGAGGCCAAGGUGGGCAGAUCACCUGAGGUUGGGAGUUCGAGACCAGCCUGACCAACAUGGAGAAACCCCAUGUCUACUAAAAAUACAAAAUUAGCUGGGCAUGGUGGCACAUGCCUGUAAUCACAGCUACUUGGGAGGCUGAGACAGGAGAAUCACUUGAACCCGGGAGGCAGAGGUUGCAGUGACCCGAAAUCGCGCUUUUGCACUCCAGCCUGGACAACAAGAGUGAAACUCCAUCU